UCCUUCUGGGUGUUAUGGAGACCGCCGGCGGCCCUGUGUGUUGCCACGGCGACGGCAUGGGGACGCUGCUGUCGGUGCACGUGAGAAAGACGUGGUGCGUGAGGCCGAGGCGGCGGCGGCGGCGGCGGACAAUGUGGGCCGCUGAGGCAGACACUGCGCGGGGAUGGCCGGUGCAUCCAAUGAGUAACCACUCGCCAGCGAGGAGGCCUGAGAAGUGUUAACUGGCCGACCUGGUGCCCGGCCAAAGGGAAGGGAAGGGGCCCGGAGAGAGUCGAGGCUACCGGCCAGGAUCUUAAUUCUGAUGAUGCUUCGCCCAUUGUUGUAAUGCUGCAGGCUUGUGUGCUGAAGGUUUCCCUGUUUGAAAUGAACUUGCCGUCCGUGGUGGAAGAGAGAAAAGGGAAUGGCCAGGGUGGCAUCCUUGACUAAACUCAGCAACAUACAAAAGCUGGAGGAACUCAAAUGGAUCAGGCAGCAUCUAUUAUGGAGCGAACUGGACAGUCGAUGUGUUGGGUCAAGACCUUCCAACCUUGACUGUACUAUUAGACUUUCUGAAGCAGUGCACCAUGAAGAUGGACUGGAUGGAAGGAAGUGACGAACCUGUGAUGGACUGGGCUGUGUUUACCACUCUCUGCAGGUUCCAUUGGUCCAGAGCAGAGCAGUUGCCAUACCAGACUGAGGUGCAACUGUCAGGAUACUUCCUAUAGUACAUCUGUAAAAGUUUGAGAGAACCCUCAUGGACAAGCUGAAUCUUCUCAGAUGUCUAAGAAAGUACAUAUGCUGAUGCGCUUUCUUGAUCACCACAUCACUAUGGAAAGAUCAGCUUUAGAUUUGGAUCAAGUAUGGAACAUUAGAAGGAACAUACCUUUGGGGCAAUUAAAAACUGCAAAAACUUCAUCUUCU